UGGUGACACAGGCUGAGGGCUCUGUCUCAACCAGGUGAGAAGACUUGGGUUCACCUGAGCUGAAUUGUGACCAUGAAGUUUCUGGAUGUGGAAGUAGGAUUAGGACCUGAGGCUCCUGGAGUGGAACAUGUCACCCUGCUGCCCUGCUGCCGCCAGCUGAUAGCGCUAAGGAGAGAUCACUUCCUCCAGAGAUCGCUUGCUCUCAGAAAACUAGCUGCUGACUCCCCCUCUGAAGACCACGACAUCUCCACGGUCCUUCCAGCCAGUCCGAAAGCGCAGGCAGCUCCUGCUGACUCCUCUCCCCCGCCCGGCUUCUCCCACUCUCCACCCUGGCCCUGCUGUUCUUCAGUUCCCACCCUGGCAGAUCACCGAUUAAUUCAGGGCUGUUUAAUAACCCUUCCAUUUCGAUGAAACAAGCUGUCUUGUUUUCUUUAUUUUUAACACCGACUUUCGUUUCUUUGCUAAGCAUCUUACUGUCAUUUAAAUUUCUCUGUCUCCAACCAAGCUGAUAAUAGACCGGAGUGAGCAGCUGCUUCCGUCCUGUUUAUGACAAUGAUUAGAAGUUAGAGCUGUGCAGGCGGAGAGCUGACCAAGUCAGAGCUCAGAGGGGUCUGCCCUGCUGUGGAGGCAGUGCUCCUUUCAAGGGAUGAGGAGGAUUCUGGCUCCAGGGGUGUCAGGGCUCAUCCCAGCCUCGCCUUCCAGGCACCCUGCUCUGAGGCAGGGCGUGGGGGUGAAGGCAUGAGGAUGAGAUCUAUUCACCCUGGGACUUGGGCCAGCAGCUGCAGGUCAUUCUCCUGGGCCUGGCCCUCAACUUCCCUUCUCAAGGGAGUAUUUCUCUCCACCAAAUUUACUGAGCAGCAAACAGGAAGGCUCAAGGGGAGAAGCCCUGGACGUGUGUGGGGAUCGACAUCACCUGGCAGACCUUUCUGCUCCACAUAGGAAUCCCUUCCUGAAACUCUGCUCACCAUCUUCUAACCUCUGAAUUCCCCCAAUGGUGUAGGGCUCAUGCCCUCCCUAGAUGGCCCCUUCCAGGGUAGAUGGCUUUGGUUAAUCUCUCUUUCUUCUGUCCUCCUGCAAUAAAACUACAUUUCACCUGUGUGACCAUUAUCUGUGUGUGUCCCCUUUCUCCUUUGCCAUAUUGUAAGAUCUUCAAAAGCCUGGACAGUAACCUACCUUCUUCCCAUAAUAUUUGGCACACAGUAGAAGUCGAUAAAC